rnacentral:rRNA from 1 species
UACCAGCACCCCGAGUGGGCGGGACGAUUAUUGGGCCUAAAGCAUCCGUAGCCGGCCUUACAAGUCCUCCGUUAAAUCCAGCUGCUUAACAGAUGGGCUGCGGAGGAUACUAUAAGACUAGGAGGCAGGAGAGGCAAGCGGUACUCAGUGGGUAGGGGUAAAAUCCGUUGAUCCAUUGAAGACCACCAGUGGCGAAGGCGGCUUGCCAGAAUGCGCUCGACGGUGAGGGAUGAAAGCUGGGGGAGCAAACCGG